CUGCUGCCUCCCGUAGGAGUUUGGGCCGUGUCUCAGUCCCAAUGUGGCCGUCCACCCUCUCAGGCCGGCUACUGAUCGUCGCCUUGGUGGGCCUUUACCCCGCCAACCAGCUAAUCAGACGCGGGUCCAUCCCAUACCACCUUGGUUUUCAAACAAAAAGCAUGCGCUUUCUGUUGUUAUGCGGUAUUAGCACCUAUUUCUAAGUGUUAUCCCCCUGUAUGGGCCAGGUUACCCACGUGUUACUCACCCGUCCGCCACUAAGCCUUUCCCUUUUCCG
rnacentral:rRNA from 1 species